GACAGGACAGGACAGGACAGGACAGGACAGGACAGGACAGGACUGCGAUGCUCAGCGGGUGGAGCCGCAGGAUAUGGCACUCUGUGGCCGCUGUGCUGCUCGUGGCUGUGGCCAGAGCCGAGGUGCAGCAGGAGCCGUUUCUGGAGACCACCGAGGGUAGCGGCAUCAACAUCAACUGCUCACAUCCCAAAAUCAAGACCAACGAGUGGAUCCAGUGGUACCAUCAGCUCCCGGGAGGAGAACCCAAACUCCUCGCAGUCAUUGUGAAAGGGUCCAAAGAGCUGCCGGAGAGAGAAGGUCGUCUGUGGGUGUCGGCUGAUCGGCGUUGGAGCGCGCUGUGGCUGUGGCGGCCCCGGCGCGGGGACGCGGCCGUGUAUUACUGCGCGCUGGGCGCACGGGCAGAGGAGCCGGGGCUGCGGCCGGGCACGAACCGCCGCGGGCGGGGCCGGGCGGGGCCGGGGGCGCAGCGCCGGCCGCGGCCAGCAGGGGGCGCUGCCGCUCCGCCCGCCGGGCCUUGCCGGGCCCGGGCUGGGGGGCGCUCCCGACACCGGCACCGACACCGGAACCGCAUGAGGCACUGACACCGGUAAUGGGAUCGACACUGAC